GUGCUCACUUCGGCAGCACAGAUACUAAAAUUGGAACGAUACAGAGAUUAGCAUGGCCCCUGUGCAAGGAUGACGCGCAAUUCGUGAAGUGGUCCAUACUUUU